UAGCCAUAUCCGGCUGAAACAUCAAUUCUCGUACAAUCACCAAAGUUAAGCAAUGUCAAGUCUGGUCAGUAUCUAGAUGGGUGACCGCUUGGGAACACCAAGUGCUGUAAG